UGGGGAAUAUUGCGCAAUGGGCGAAAGCCUGACGCAGCAACGCCGCGUGAGUGAUGAAGGCCUUCGGGUCGUAAAGCUCUGUCGGAGGGAACGAAUGCUCUUGAGGUUAACAGCCUCGGGAGGUGACGGUACCCUCAAAGGAAGCACCGGCUAACUCUGUGCCAGCAGCCGCGGUAAUACAGAGGGUGCAAGCGUUGUUCGGAAUCAUUGGGCGUAAAGGGCGUGUAGGCGGUAUGUUAAGUCAUGUGUGAAAUCCCCGGGCUCAACUUGGGAAUGGCGUUUGAAACUACGGAACUGGAGUGUGGCAGAGGGAGGUGGAAUUCCACGUGUAGCGGUGAAAUGCGUAGAGAUGUGGAGGAACACCGAUGGCGAAGGCAGCCUCCUGGGCCAACACUGACGCUCAUGCACGAAAGCGUGGGGAGCAAACAGGAUUAGAUACCCCCGUAGUCCCUGAGCGGGCUGGCAAGGCGCAU
rnacentral:rRNA from 1 species